AGCAGCCGCGGUAAUUCCAGCUCCAAUAGCGUAUAUUAAAGUUGUUGCAGUUAAAAGCUCGUAGUUGAAUUUCGGGAUUGACACAUCGGUCGUGCCUUAAGGGGUAUGAACUGGUGUAGUCAAUUUCUCACCUUCUGGAGAACCACGAUGCCCUUAAUUGGGUGUCGCGGGGAACCAGGACCUUUACUUUGAAAAAACUUAGAGUGUUUAAAGCAGGCAUUUUGCUUGAAUACAUUAGCAUGGAAUAAUAAAAUAGGACGGCAUGAUUCUAUUUUGUUGGUUUCUAGGAUCACCGUAAUGAUUAAUAGGGAUAGUUGGGGGGCAUUAGUAUUCAAUUGUCAGAGGUGAAAUUCUUGGAUUUAUUGAAGACUAACUACUGCGAAAGCAUUUGCCAAGGAUGUUUUCAUUAAUCAAGAACGAAAGUUAGGGGAUCGAAGACGAUCAGAUACCGUCGUAGUCUUACCAUAAACUAUGCCGACUAGGAAUCAGACGAUGUAAUUUUUUUCAAUGACUCGUUUGG
rnacentral:rRNA from 1 species